rnacentral:rRNA from 1 species
GAUAGGUUAAGUUAAUAAGGGCGCAUGGUGGAUGCCUUGGCACUAGAAGGCGAUGAAGGACGUGACUAACUACGAUAUGCCUCGGUUAGCUGUAAGUAAGCUUACCCGGGGGUUUCCGAAUGGGGCAACCCGAUCUUAAUGAUCAUCAUCUUUUUGAAUUCAUAGAUUAGAUGAAGCAAACGCUGUGAACUGAAACAUCUAAGUAGCAGUAGGAAAGUAAAGAAAUUUCGAUUCCGUCAGUAGCGGCGAGCGAACGCGGAAGAGCCCAAACCUGGAUGCUUGCAUCCAGGGGUUGUAGGACUGAUGUUGAGUUACAAAGGUAUAAGAUAGCAGAAACAGUUGGGAAGCUGUUCCAAAGAGGGUGACAGGCCCGUAUGCGAAAUCUUGUACUCUCUAAUCAGGAUCCUGAGUACGGCCCAGCACGUGAAAUUGGGUCGGAAUCUGGGAGGACCAUCUCCCAAGGCUAAAUACUAACUAGUGACCGAUAGCGAACAAGUACCGUGAGGGAAAGGUGAAAAGAACCCCGGAAGGGGAGUGAAAUAGUUCUUGAAACCGUGUGCUUACAAGAAGUUCGAGGCCGUUAAUGGCUGAGAGCGUGCUUUUUGUAGAAUGAACCGGAGAGUUACGAUUGCGUGCAAGGUUAAGGUGCAAAGACUGGAGCCGUAGCGAAAGCGAGUCUUAAUAGGGCGAAUCAGUACGUAGUUGUAGACCCGAAACCGAGUGACCUAUCCAUGGUCAGGUUGAAGGUGGGGUAAUACCUACUGGAGGACCGAACAAGUGGGUGUUAAAAAACCCUUUGAUGAACUGUGGAU